GCUUCCAUGCAGCCUUCGAGUUGCUCUUUUCUCGGAAUUACGACAAGUAGAUAAGAUAACAUCUGCAUUUCUUUACUAUGCGAAUUGCGAUGGAAGACGAACAAAAUUCGACGUAGUACGUGUUUAGUUUAGACCUGAUUCUCGUACAAGUCUGAUCGAAUCGAAGUACAUUAUGGUUGAUGACUGACGCGGCGUGUUCGGGUUCGGACUUCGGGUUAGUUAUAAAUUAGCGAAUUCUGCAUCGUAAAUUUUUCCAAUUUUUUCGCGUAAAAUAUUGAAAUUUUGUUUUUCGAAUACGAUUUUUUUCUAUACCUAGUUCGUGUUAUCGGUGAAUUUGAUUCGUAUUAAAUGUUAUUGUUUGGUAGACUCUAUACGAGUACGUCUUAUUCGCGAAACCAAAGUGUACAAUUUCGUGCAAGUUAAUGUGAUUUAGUUCCAUCUUUUUUUUCUUUUUUUUUGUGGAACGAGAUCCUCAUACUUAGAUGAGGUGACAAUUUUCUUCGAAAAGGACAGUAUAUUCUCCUGAGCAGUUAUUUCGGUAAUGUGAAUUCAAUUCGAAGAACGAAGAAGAGGUCAGAAAAUGUGGCGUUUUCCAUACAUCGAUCGUUAUCUGGAAUUUCUCGAGGCCAUAUUUUGCAGGCUGUCAGGGUAAGAAAUUCGUUAUUCUAAUUCUAUGUUUGAGCUUAUAUUUUUUUUUUGCGAGUUUGUUCGCAGCUACGCACAUUGUGAUAAAAAAAUUUCAUAUUCGUAAAAUUGUGAAUUCUCUUAUGUCUUUUCAAGACUGUGUUACAACAUGCGUUUGAAAACUCGAUCAGACAAUGCUCUUCGAAAUGGUAUAA